GUUCAUAAUAUGAAUAGCAAACGAGGAAAGCGUGAAGCCGGCGUCAGAGGAAACAACAUGGACCUUGAUGACAAAUCACGCGACAACGACAAUCAUGGGUAGCCGAACCAAGAAGGUCAUGUUGAUCGUGUAGAUGGGCACCCACCACAGGUCCUGUACUCCAUCCGUAGUUGUCGCAAGCACUGGCCACACGCCCCGCCACGGGCGGUUGUAUAUUAUGUUCCUAAAGAUACAUUAUGAAUAAAUAACCUAUUUCAUGUUGUGGCUCCUAUACUGGUCAAAGAAAAAUUCUUGUCUUAGAUUUUUCUACAUACAGACGUAUCUAUUGACGUUUUAGUGUUAGAUACAUCCGUACCUAGAUAAAUCUAAGACAAGAAUUUUGGGACGGAGGUAAUAGAUACAUUAUGUCUACACAUGGAUGAAUAAAUCAGUACAUCAACAAUACUUCGAAACAAUGUAAAAAACAACACAUGCAGAUCCUAAAGGUACUCCUGUUUUUGGAUGAUGUCAUGAAGGUACACCAAUAUAUAGCAAAUGAUUUGAACUAAAACCAAAACACAUAUUUUGGGCUGGAGGGAGUAGUUUGUUUUUUACCUUGUGCUCAAUCUGCCAUAUAUCCAACUAUGAGGCAUACAACAUAUCAGCCAAAAUACUUUAAAUUGCAUUGAAUUGGAACGCACCGGACAAGAUGGUAAGCACAAGUAAUCUUGUAUACGCUGUAUUAAUAUAAAUUGGGAAUCUACAUUUAUUAAAAGCUUAUUAAUACAAUAUAAUAUAUGUCAAGAAAGUACCAAUCAUAGUAUAUGUAAUUUGGCACAUAUUAUCUACUUACCUGACCAACCUCAGUUCUCAAUAUACAUCAAUCCCAUUUGGAACAGUACAAGAUGCCAGGCAAAAUUAUAUUUUUGACUUUCCCAUAAUUCGAACUGCUGGAAAAUAUUCACCACCAACAAUUAGCACUGCUUUAAAGCAAAACACAUACACAAUUAUCUAAGUGUAUAGACGGUAGUAUUCAACAGACCUGGCUGUACUGUUCAAAUGUUUACAACAAUACUGAAUUUAUGUAUUGCAAAACAUUCGGGGAUGACAUGCAUGUGUUGAACAAAAACUUAAAAGAUAAAAUCGUGGAUCAUCCACUUCCAAGUAGGAGGAUCGGGAGACCACGUAUCUGCAUGAACUGCUAUCCAUCAUAACCUAUGAGUGGAGAGAAUACAAUGUGGCACCUGCACAUGGAGGAAGAGCAGCCGGCUUCAAGUGCAAUGGACGAUGUGUCUGGACUAAGCACAAUGUAGUGUCAGAGUAGUUUAGGAGUAGAAUCCUCAUCCUGCUUAUAUACAUGGCCCAGGCAAAUCUGUAAUCAACCGAGGCCCCGUGAGUUGAAUCAAUAAAGAAAUCAAAGGCUCGAGCCUUUGGCGACCUGGCCUGAUCGUGUUGUAUGCAUGUGUGUUGCUUUUCUUUGUUACUCCAACUGAAGUAGUACACAUGGUGCAUCGUGUACCUCAACAAUUACACUAAAUCUGAAUUGCAUUGGUGUGGGAGAGCUGCACGAUGUCGAUGGCUGUGAGGCCUCCACCAAGAGAGACAAGGAUGGCGGUCAUCAUCGCCGGGAGGUCCGCCGCCUCCAUACUCAGCGGGCCUCUGGAGUCUGGACCACGUAGCGAGGAGGUGAGCGCUCCUCACUGGAGGGGGCGAGAUCAACAUCGUCCAUCAGUGCCAGAGGAAACCAUAAAACAUGGCAGGUUGUUCAUGCUCAUCUUGGCAUAGAUGAGGCUGCAGUCACGCCGCGGUGGUGCUCCAACUCCUACUCAACUGCGUCAUCAUUAUGCUGUUGUCCACCGACGGCAACGCCGGAAUUAUGGAUCGAGCGUAUGGGCGCAAGAAAUUUUGGGAGGAAGAAAUUGAUUUGGUGGGAUAGCAUGCAGAAAACUGGCGUCCUUACAUUAUGCGUUCUGGCCUCGUAUGGCAGGAAAAAUCGCUAAUAAAAAACCAGAUAUUGGAGAAGGUGGGCUUUCUUAUAGGAAAAAAAUCGGUGGGGUUGAUGCCUUCCUUUGUUUGGUGGUGCGGUGGAGGGGGCGUACGACGUACAACCCCCUUUAGGAGCAGAGAUAGGAGCAGAGAUCGACUGAUCAUUUGUCGAUCGGCUCUGACUAAAAUUAAAUCCCUGGAGCAAAUAUGUGACCAUAUAUGUUGGACCAUGAGGCAGGAUUCUUGCAUAGAGAAUCAAGCAACAAAUAAUGAGGAUAACACAUGAAAUGGUAGCAAAGAAGACCAUGCCAAAAAUAAAUUGUUGGAACACCCAGUUGUAGACUACAGCCAGGAGCCAAAAUAAAAACAUAUUUCUACAUUCUUACACCAUGCAAGCAAGUAUUGAGAUUAAAUUGGAAGCUGUAAAUAUAUAAAACAUGUUGCUGAAGUUGUGUUAAGAGAACGAAGGUACCUGACUAAAUAAUUCAGAACAAAAUAAUCCAAUACGUUGAAAUGUAUCCAAUGAUUUACCAGAUGAUAUAUCUCAUCUAACGAGAACAAUGAAUCCCAUGUCAUACCUGCUGAUAUAUUAUGACUUUAACCAGCACAAUGAAUCCCAUCAACAAACAUAACUCUCCAAUCUCGCAUGCUCUUCUACUAAUAUGCUGGAUAUGAGACACUCAACACUAAACAUUUAUGAGGACUACUAUAAAGGCAAAAGUAAAUUAUGGUAAGCACCGUGUACUUAUCUGUGUUGGGGGGUGCCAGAUCGCAAAUGGCUGAGGGAUAGAUUUAGAAUUACCGCGUCUCAAAAAUUAUUUAGAUCAUUCACCCCAUCUCUUCCGAGAUGCCCUCCUAUAUGAACAUGCGGCUUGCGCUUUGCAGCUUCUCAGUACAACAAAACAUAGUACAAAACAUGCGAUGUCUCCAUGGAUCAAAAGUUAAGAACAUGGCCAAUGCGCAUUAACUGUAACUGAAACCUGAAGUUGUACUUAAGCAUUUGUAGCAUAGCUUUAAAAAGGAGAAAUAUUGACGAGUACUGAAGUAUCAGCCUAAAAGGAGAAAUAUGCACCUGCUCUCCCUGAAACGAAAUUGCACUUAAGCUCCCUCCGCAAAUGGAGUUCACAAAACCUGCAAAAGGGGAUAAGGAACUAAAUAAAAUCCUCAAGAAUCUGGUCACAUAAAUGAACUACGCCGGCGAGUAGCAAAUGUCGAUGCAACUGCAUUGCCUCAUUUGUGCACAUAAAGAAAAGGAAAAAAUGCAUUCUUCGCAAGUUGGUAAAAAAAUUAACACAUAAAGGUCAGUGCUACUUAGUACCGAUGAAAAUGAUUUAAUGAAGAUACUCGAAAUGGGACAAGAACAAUGCAAUAUGGAGUAGUGCUGAUGUCUGAAUCCGCUGCCUUCAGCACAUGAAAUUGUUUUUCAUGGCAACAUAGGAUUAUUCUACUGUGGGACGAAAAGACCAGAAAAGUGUGGGCAGUAUCAAUUGCUAAAAAAGUUUUGGCAGUAUUGUCAAGAUGUCUGAAUUGAUGUUUGACAAACAUGAGAAUAGCACAAAAAUACUUCAGAAAAAUCAUCAACAAAUCUCACCAAAGAAUGGCAAGUAACUGGAUACUUGAUAGAAUUUAACUGAAUUAUGUACAAGGAACAGAAUCACAAAACCAUUCCAUAGUGAAUGUAACAAGAAAUUACCCGUCAUUGUGAGGGUGUUCAAACAUGGCGAACAUACCCCAGUUCCUUCAAUACGCGUUUAUCUAGCUUUAAUAGGCAUGUUAGCCAUUCUUCCUGCAGGACAAACAAGGUGUUUCACUUUCGGAAUUCUUUAUGCAGAACUCAGGGUCUCAGAUUGCUCAAAUUCUAUUUUCUACCUACUGACAAAGUCAUCCAAAUGAUGUCAGGUUAUAAUGCCUCCUCAAUUCGAUCCUGUGGAACUCGCGGAUGAUGCUCUCCAAUGCAUCGGGCUCUCCUCCAAUUUUGAUGAUAGCCAAACUGAAGUCGUGGAACCUCUCUGCAAGCAUAAAGAAAUCAGAAAAUCAAACAGUUUU
rnacentral:lncRNA from 1 species